CCAUAUGGGAUCCCGGAGCCACCCACCUUGAUCUCCAAGGUUCUUGACAAGCAGAUUUUACACCGCCUACCAAAUGUUCAAUAGAAUAAAUAAUGGAUUCGUAUUUUCUGUGGGGUCUUUCCAACACUAUUACUCAAUUCAAUUGUGUUAACUAAACCAAGUAAUAAUGAUUAGUUGAUUUUUCAAUUUUGGUGUAUCAAACUAUCAACUAAUGAUUCAAAUUAAAAGAAAGCAAAUGUAAUUGAUCAAGUUUCAAAGAUUGGAUGAAGGUUGCUCAUACUCGAAUCCACUAAAGUUAGCAAUACAUGAAUGAACGAUAUGUAAUCUCAAUUAAUCAGGUUAUAAUGGCUAGGCGAUCUCCUACAGUAGUCUUAGAUCGCUCUCACUAUAAUGAUCUAUUCUGCUUGACCAUAGACUGCUCUCUCGAGGUAAUCUACACCCAAGCAUAACACACUAAAGGUAUUGGAUGAAAUGCCACAACUAGAACGUUGCAAAAAAUCCUAGACGAUUCAUUCGUCUCUCGAGCUAACAGAGAAUUUAGAGUUGGUUCUACGUGUUCUAUAAAUUAUUGUUCCUCUCAGACCCACUAAUUGAUAAUAAAGAUUUAAUCAAGAUGAUCAAAAGAAAUUGAAUCUGAAAUUUAGGUUUCGUAAGAACACACGAUAAUCCUGAAUAACAUCGAUAGCAAUGUAACGGGUUUAAAAAUACACCCUCCAUACAAAAGCUAAACUAAAGUGUGACAUCCCGAUUUCAGGUUGAUUGUCGAUUCUCAGUUUUAUGUGAAUUCUGGAAUUCUAGAAUUUGGUGACGGGUGGACGAUCACGGGCAUGAGUGGUAAGUCCGUCACAAGCGUGGUGGAAUGAUUAUAAAACCAGAGUCGCGACCUGCAACUCAUAAUAUACAAAAAUAAAAACCUAUGAAAUUCUAUGACGAACGUUGUUCUCCCUUGGGUGGUGGAGAAGGCAGAGCUGAUUAGUUCCAGAUCGUUGGCAGAGUUAGAGAAGAUAAAAGAUGCUUCAAAAGUUAAUCAUUCUUCUUCUUCUAUCUCAAUCCUACUUAUUUAAACCUACGUAGGAAAAUCCUGACAGUUUUGGGAUUUAGGGUUUUAGAAUUUCAAUCCUACGAUUGAUCUCUUUAUUCAGGACGGAGGCUUGAGCUCUGGGAAGGCAGCUUCAGAUCAGACUCUACCAAGAAAGCUAAUCAUAGGUGGGGAUUUACGUUUCGUUCUGCUUUAUAAGCAUAGAGCUAUAGUGGGAUGAUGGGGAAUCCAUUGAUGGGAUUCCUGAUGUGAUUGUAUUUGUGUUUCGGAGAGACGGCUCUCACGACUGUACAGUAGCAUGUGAUCUACUGUACAGUAGCAUGUGAUCUGUUUUGGAGUAAGGGCUCUCAGGCUAUAUAGUAGCGUGUGAUCUACUAUACAUGCAGUUAUUAUAGUCUGAGCUUAAUCUCAUGGCAUUUGAACUGUGAUGUGUAAUUCACAGGUCAUGGUAGGGCAGAAUAGGCCUAGUUAGACUAGCUUACAAUUAUGAUAUGUCGAUCACCCACCCAUGGAUUACACAAUCCCAUAGGAUUUCAUAUAUCAGGCAUGGCGUGAUGAGUAUGCCUUCAGUUGCUGCUCGCACAAGUUUCCAAGGUGGUUUCAUGGUCUGAUCCACCAUGAGGCCGUCUACCCAGCUAGGGGUAGAUGAUGAUCGGUUGAUGCAUACAGGACGACAUGGUCACAUUACUAGAUAUCAGUUUCAGUCCUACGCGAGUCUAGUAGCAACUCAGUACUUAUCACUGACCCCGUCUCUUCUACUUGUAUGUACGACCUUGAGACCUCAGGAGAAAAUGCCCCCUAAGAAGACUACACGAGCAGCACCGACAUGUCAAUUGAGUGGCUUUAGGAGUUGUAGAGAGAGGUACCAUGGAGGACCUCAAUUAUCCAUUUUCUUGUUUUAAGGAUUCUAGUUUGUUCUCUGUUUACUUAUCUCUGGAUGUUGGUUUCCCCUUAUUUUUGGGAUAUGUUUUUACCAUUGUUGUUGUUACAGGAUUUCAAGCCUUUGAUGCUUAUGUAUGUUUUGCGAUGAUGAGUGAACCUCCGAGUAGUUGCAUGGAUCAAACCGUAUGGUUCGAUUGGGUUGUCUAGUGGUGGGUUUAACAACGAGUAUCAGAGCUUGGUUAUUCUCUACUGCGUGACUGUGCUUACUUGUACCGACGCAUCAUAAACCUCAAAGCAACUAUAGUAGCUCAGUACGGAAUGAUUUGGGGAGAUGUUUUAAAUGUUGAUAGGAAUUUGUAACUUUGGUGUUUUGUGUUAUUUGAAACGAAACAGUUUAAAUAAAAAAGGAUACUAAAUAAUAGCCUCAUAUGUGUAGUGAUCAUGUGGAAUCGAUCUAGGUGAUGAGGGAUAUGCAUGCACCUAGGUUGGAUUUCAAAGAGCUGACUCGAGUAGGCACCAUUAACUUUGAUGGGGAGACCUCAUAUCCAUAGUUGGUUGUUAAUUGGCUAAGAGAGCUAACCAAUGCAUUCAGGUAUUUGGGACCUGCGCCACAACGGAGAGUGUUGUAUGCUGCUGACCUAUAGAGAGGUGUAGGAAAAGAGUGGUGGAGUAGCUAGUUGGAGGUCGAGGAUGAAAUUUUAAGAAAGAACUGGGAGGAAUUCCUAGUUCUUUUCAAGAAGGAAUUCAUGCUAGAGGGGUGGCAAAAAAAAUAAGAGGGCUAAGUUUAUCAACUUUAGGCAGGGAGAGAUGAAGGUGGUUGAUUACUACAUCACCUUCAUCAAGUUGAGCAGGUGGUACAAGGGCUCCCCUGCGCGGAAAGUGGAGGACAUGAAGCAGAUGUUCUUGGAUGGGCUGAGAGCUCACUUUCAUAUCGAGGUCACUAACAGUGACAUGGAUACCCUGGUAGAUAUCAAGGCAGCAGCCUUGAGGGUUGAGCACCUUGAAGAUGUGAGGAAGGGAGAGCAUCAGGCUUGGCUGGCAGAGAAAAAGAGGAAAGUGGCUGCAAGCGGCUCGUAGAUACCGCCAUCACCUUAGAGGAAGAGAGACGCACAUCGCGGUACUCUUUCGCUACAGACUAACUUCACUGCCUUUGUCACCCCUACAAUGCAUCAUAAGUAUUCUAUAACAUCAUUUAAUCAUCCUCUUUGUUCGGAGUGUGGAAUUCGACACUGAGGAGUGUGUCUGAAGAAUUUGGAAGUUUUCUUCCGGUGCGGGCAACCGGGCCAUUUUCCACGGGACAACAUCGGGCUGAGCAAGCUAGCAGCGUUGGAAGCGACAGUAUAACAGAGACGAGCUCCGUAUGUGAAGAUCAGAGAUAGAGGCUCUAAGGCUUCAUUUAUGGGAGCCAAUGUGGUUCCCUUGGGACAAGGGAGGAACACAAAGGCAUAGAGCACGGUGUAUGCCAGAAGAGCUAAGGCAGAGGUCGUCCCGAAUACCAUCACAGGUACGGUUGUCAUUUCUGGCAGAUCCUUUUAUGCCUUGUUUGAUACGGGUGCUUCACCCUCUUUCAUCCUUGCCAUUUUCGUUCAUCUAUUGUCUUUUUUGCCUACUAGGAUGAGUAGAUCAUUUAGAGUAAGUAUACCAGUAGGAAAGACUCUGCUCCUUGAGGAUAAGGAGUUCACAGCGAACCUCAUCGUUCUUUCUUUUGAUGAGUUUGAUGUGAUCUUAGGGAUGGAUAAGUUGGAGCACCAUGGAGCCAUGGUAGACUGUAAGAAGAAGACUAUCAGGUUCUCUACGCCUAAGAAGGAGGCUGUAGUAAUCACUGGGAUUAAGGGGCAGAAGCACUAGGGACGACCUUUCAUUUACGCCUUGAACGCAAAGAGGCUGAUCAGAAGCAGAUGUGAGGCCUUCCAACUCUUAUCUUCCUUGAUAUAGAAGGGCGAAUUAACGGUGUGUUGGUAGUUCAGGAGUUCCCUGACAUUUUCCCAAGCAAAUUGCCGGAGGUGCCUUUUGAGCGAGAGGUGGCUUUCACUAUAUGAUUGGUGCCAGGAAAACCACCUGUAUCCAUAACAACCUACCAUAUGGCGCCGGUAGAGUUGAAGGAGCUCAAGGAUCAGUUGCAAGAGCUACUAGAGAAGGGUUGAGUGGGCAAUGUCCUCUCCUAUGUGACUAGUUAUCUUCUUGAAGCAUAUCCUUAUGGAGCUGUCAACUUCUAGAGAUGAAAUGAGUUGUGAUAGUUAUAUAAUUGUUGUUCUUCAAUAAUUUCCAACUAUAUGAUGUGAUCGAAACCCGCCCCAUGCCUAGAGUUGUUCACGAACAUGGCCGAACCAAGCUUCACUGUACUCAAGCUUGGUUCGUUAUUUUUUAGGCGAGCUCGAGCUAGAAAAUUUUAGCUGGUCUCGAGCUUGAGCUUAUUCGAGCCUGACUCGUUAACUUCCCUAGUCGAGCCAAACUCGAGCUCAAUUCGAACUUCACUCAUUAAAAUCCACUAAUGAGUCUAUUUUCAACAAACUUUGAAGUUUGUAUACUAUAAAAUAUCGACGAGUCAAAUGUAAAAAAACUAAUAACCUAAAAUAUACAAGUUUUCACUUUUCUCAAUUAAACAGUUAACCCUAAAUAGUGUGACUUGCAUUUUUAUUAGUGGCACAACAACAAAUUACAUAUGAUUGAUUAUUUAUGAUUUUUGAGCAAAACAUAUGUUCGAACAUCGAGCCGAACGCGAGCGGCUUGGUUCGUCAGCAACUCUACCCAUGCCUUUACUUUUAAAGAAGGACUUCAAACAAUAUUUCCGCUUAAUAAACAACUUUACACAAUCUCUUCUUACUAUCCUCCUACUUGGAGUUUUGAACGUAGGACAAACACGAGCCUUGAAAUGGCACAAGCCUCUCUUUCAGCAUACUUGAAAGCUUGCUCAUCAAGUAUGAUCAUUUCCGCAAAUGCUAAUCACGAUUCUUUUUUAUCAAAUCACCAAUUUGACAUCUCACAUGCUCCAUCGAUGGAGGUACUAGGUUGAAAACUCAUAUGCUCCAUCGAUGGAGGUACAUAUCACCACACAUAACAUAUGAGUCAUUAAGAACUUCUAGAUACACAUAUUACAUAAAGUAUUCAUCUUUAUGUAAUUUCUAACAUGAAAGCAACUUAACAUACAGAACAUGUGAUCAUUAUUACCAACAUCAACUUAGGGAACGUGAGAACACGUGACAUUGAAUUUUAUACUUAUACUUGACCUUAUCCAAGGUAUCCGAUUCACUUGCACUUGACAUACUUGGAAUGAGCUUAUCUAAGGUAUCUUAUCACUUGCACUUAACAUACUUGUGCAUAACCUUAUCUAAGUUAUCUUAUCACUUGCACUUUACAUACUUGUACAUGACCUUGUCUAAGGUAUCUUAUCACUUGAACUUGACAUACUAGCAAGGCGUCCCCCAACUCAACUAACUAGUCCAACCACCCAAACGUGAACGUGAGAGUCUCGGAGUAUGUAUCCAUCAUAUGAUAACAUGAGGGGCAAACUGUGGCCCAAACGUGAGAAACAUUGGGGCAAUAUCGGCUCAAACAUGAACAUGAGAUCAUAACAUGAGGGGUGGUGGUCUAGCUAGAGAGUUACAUGUUUCUAAUACACCUAUUACUUGUCUAAGUAACAUGUACUUGUUCACUGCUUGCUAGCUAUCUAACCAUAUCAUAGUCUCACCUUGUCAUAAUUCAAUGGCACGACUUGCACAUCAUCAAGUAAUAACCUAUGACAUCAUAGCAUAAUCACUGAACUAUAACAUGGAUCACAUGAACAUGAAUUGUUAUAAUCCCAUUACAUGACUUAAACCCUAAUCAGAGAGACAUCACAUGACUUGUUAGAAUUCAAGGAUACAACUUGCACAUCAUCACAUAAUAACAUAUCAUAUAAUCUCAUAACCACUUAACUCUAACAAGAAUCACAUAAACCUGAGGUAAUCGCUAAUUAAGGAGACAAGACAUGACUUGGCAUAAUUCAAAGUACCACUUGCACAUCAUCAAGUAAUAACAUAACAUAUCCUGACCUAACCGCCUAACCAUGAUGUGGAUCACCUGAACAUGGGUGAACAUUAAUCAAGGAGAGAUGGUAUGACUUAUCAUAAUUCAAAGGUACAACUUGCACGUCAUCAACUAGUAACGUAACAUGAACCAACCACCUAUCAUAAUAUGAAUAAGAUGAAUAUAAUGUAAGCACUGCUCCCGCGGAAACAUGAUAUGUCUUAGUGUAGUUAAAAGGGAAACUUCCACGACAAACAGUAAUAACUUAUAUAUUUAGUCGUAACAUGAAUAGGAUGAACAUAAUGUGAACAAUAAUCUUGGGGAACAUGUCGUGCUUUAACGUAAUUGAAAGGGGUAAUGUGAAACCCGCCCCUAGACGACACAAUCGAACUACGCGGUUCGAUCCAUGCAAUAUUCGCAAGUUCACUCAACAUAUAAACAUGAUAACUGACAUACAAUAUCUGAAUUGAAAUAUCCUCAAUACUUGAGUAAAACGACACCAAAAAUAAUCAAAGCAUCAAAGGCUAGAAAUCAUCAACUAACAUCACUAAAAAAACAUUCCAAAUAGGAGAACAACAACCACUGUAAAUAUGUCAAACAACUGAAAAAACAUGAAAAACUGUCUGAAAACUAUGAAAACAAUGAAAGAGAUAGCUGAGGUUCUCCAUGAUACCUCUCUCGCAUACUCCUGGAGUUGCUCCGAGGUGGUGUUGCUGCUCGUGCACCCUUCUUAGGCGGCAUUGGCUCCUGAAGUCCCAAGUCCGACUGUAACCUAGGGGAUCACGCAAUCCAUGAGGUGGGUGACCAACGUAUAACGUGAGCUAGUCUUUCUAGUCCUGUGUGACACCCCGAUUUCGGUUCAACCAUGGGUUCCGGUUUUAGAGACGAACUGGUCGAGUGUUGGGUUUGUAAUUGGUCAACCACAUGCGUGACUGUAGUUAGUCACAGGCAAGAUGAUCAGACUUAUCACAGUUAUGGGGAACAGUUAACCACAUGCAUGAGAGUCAGUAGGCCACGGGCAUGGGUAUGUAUCAACCAACGACAUGGUUGGGUGUUCGCCACGGGCGUGGUGGACUUAUUAUAUAAGUCAAUAUCGGGUUCAGAGACUUAGAAAAACAUAGAGAAAAUAUUAGAGACUCGGCGUCGCUCUCUAGAAGAUAGAGGAGAUCGAUGGUGAGGAAGAAACCAAUGUGAGUAGUCUAGGAUAAGAGGUGGGAGAUUUGAGAGGUUAGGAGAUUCAUGGGAAGGUGAGAAAUCCUCAUCCUCUCUCUCAAUCUCAUGGUUUUGAUUCUUGUAAGAAAACCUAACAGUCCGGUUUUGGAAGAUCCAACCCUCAAUCGGAUUCUUCGAAUGUAUCAGGAUGGGAGGAUCGAGCUUCAGGAAACGGCUUCAGAUCAGACUCUUAGGGAAAGCUAUUUAAGAGGUGGAGGCUAAGAUUACUUUUCUGCUUUAUACGAAGAAUUAUAAUUAGUUAUCAAGAAUCCUGGUUGGAUUUUCAGAAUUGUACAAUAACGUGCGAUCUACUAUAUAGACAGAUGUGUCAUGUAGUUUAGAAUUUAAGGUUGUGUAGUAGUAUGUGAUCUACUGCAUAGACAGUUAUUUAUGUUCGAGCAUAAACUCACAACGAGGAACUGUGCAUGUUUCACAGUUCAUGUUUAGGAUUCAGAAUCAGGACUAGAUAGACUAGCACACAUUAUAUUUUUGUCACCCACCCCAUAGAUUGCACGAUCCCUCAGGUUAAAUUUCACAACAAACAUGGCCAUCCCCUAGCCACGCCCGUAGCCAUGUGACAACCACGCCCGUCGUGGAUCCCUUUACAGUCACUAAACAUCCUUGCUUCUGUGAUACAGAUGUUCGGUGAAGGCUCUUCCUUAGGGCACUUGGUGCAUCUGAAGAACAAGCAUUCCUGAAAUUGAGCAGGAGAGGAUUCUGAGGCUGCUGCUUAUCUUGCCGCCCAAGAGGCGAAUCUGGCUAGGGGCACUGAUCAGGCUGCCGCUAGCAUCCUUAACAUCACCACCACGCUCACGCAUGGAGCGACUAUGGGGUAAGCCCGUCUAGCAUAUCGGGCUGAUUGAUAGGGGAGAGAUCAGGGAGACUCCCUUCGCUGAUUGGGAGGAGCGGGCAGCUAACCUCCUCCAAAAUGGACGUGCAUAGCGUGUCUUUUUGGUGGAUGAGCCUGCCUAUGAGGUGCUCGAGCAUGAGUUCGUAAUGACUUUGUAUGUGGACUCAACGUCGGGCGGACCCGACCAACACUUAUCUUCUCAAUAGCCGGGAAGGUCUGCCACCUCUCCCUCGACGAGCUGGCCAUUGUUUGUGGCUACUACGCCGAGGAAGAUAAGGCCACUGACUGGUUCUAGGGCAUGAUUACCUUUGCUUCUACCAAUUUUUUCCCUCAAUACUGGCUCCAGCUGAUGAGGAGGAACAUCUCUUUUGUUGUUGGUAAGUCAUCUGACCCAAACUUGUAUUUUCCUUAGCUUUAGCAAUUUAUUUGUACGAACUUUUGAUAUGUUUUGCGUGUAGGGGUGACCAAGACUGUUGAGUAGCGAGAUAAACUCCACUGCUUCCUCAACCACAUGAUGGCCCAUACCAUCACUAGCCGGACAGAGAGUACCAGUGUUAUCACUCUUAGGGAGCUGUCCCUUUUGUACUCCUGCGUGGCGAGAGAGCCGCUUCAUCUAGGUUGUCUUUUGGCCUUCACCUUCCGGUCCUUUUGCUUCAACACCUCCCCUAAGGCUCUCCCUAGCGGUGCUUAGAUCACCCGGAUUGCCCAUCACUUAGGCCUUUUGCAGCAUUACUCCCAGGUCCGCUGCUUCCCGUCAGUCCGCAUCGGCAAGGCCACCUUGCUAAAUAUGUGGAUGCUGAGUUGGAUUCACCGUAGCGGUCAGAUUAUCCUACUGGAGACUACUCUUAUCGCGGUGGCUCACCCUGAGGGAGGAGAUGCUACUAUGGCACCACCGGCUCCUCGUCAGCGGAGGGAACCCAACUCGAGGGUGUUGAUUGUAAUUGACCAGCUGUUGGCGCAAUUAUACAACCGCCUGAGCUUCGUCAACUCCAGGCUAAACUAGAUGGAAGCAGGCCUCGCUAGCCAAUACCCGGACAAGCCGGCUACUCCUGUCUAAUUCCCUUACCAGCAGACUGGCAAUGACGGGAAAGAUGAGGAGGAUGAGGAGGAUGAGGAGGAUGAGGAGGAGUGAGCUCGAGGCCCCAACUAUUUUCUAAUCUAUUUUCUUUCCACACUAAUUUUCUUAUGAUGCUUCCUUUCUAAAACUGAAACUGUAUAACUUAAGAUCGAUCUUAUUUAUUUUAGUUCCGAAUUUCUACUUGACCCUUAACUUUUCCUAAAAAAUACAAGAGUCUUCCUCCUCCAUUCUUCCCUUUUCUUCUCUGCUUUUGCCUCCUGAAACUUUUUCUGUUCUUUGUCGACCACACCCGUGGGCCUUCAGUUGGCAACGCCCAUGGUUAGCAUGUCAUCACGGUUGUGGCCACUGCUCUGUCACGCUGUGGCUCAUCACAACCAUGCCCGUGACGGUCUUCUCACCACGGUCGUGGUCGUACUACCAUCACGCCAGUAGCCUACUGUCCGUCACGCCUGUGGCUGACUGCUCUUCGACAAUUUCCAGACCUACUACUAUCUUCAACUUUAGCACAUCUUCCUCAGACAAAGAUUCUGACAGACAAGGAUUCUGAAUCCUCAAAUCAUGCUGAAAGACAAGACAGGUGGAGAUGCUACUCCGGUUCUAAAAAUACAACAAAAAGAUAACUACUUACAUAAAAUUCGACCUAGACUUGCAUUUUCAGAGUUGGUUGGAGUUUUUAUGUCAAUAGUUGUCGUUUUGUUGUAUCUCUACUUGUCUUGUUUUUCACUAUGAUUUGAGGAUUCAAAAUCCUUGUCUGUCAGUAUCAAAAGGUUUCAUAAAUAGUUCAUGUUCAGUUUUUAAUGUUUGUUUGAACCGAGGGGGGGGGGGGUGUUCUAUGAACUAUGAAUCACACACACAGUUCCUCGCUGUGAGCUUUAUGCUCGAAUCAUAGACACAUGUCUGUGUUGUAGAUCACACGCUACUGCACAGCCUGAGCUACUAACUACAUGGCAUAAGUAUUUGUACAAUAGAUCGCGCGCUACUGUACAGUUUCAAAAAUCCAAAUAAGGAUUCCUGACAACUAAAUUAAAAUUCUUCGCAUAAAGCAGAAUAGUAAUCCUAACACCUACCUCUGAAAGCUUUCCUUUGAAGAAUCUGAUCUGAAGCCGUCUCCAUAGAGCUCGAUUUCCUGAUCUAUAUGACCUGAUAGGAUUGAAAUCCCAAAAUCCAAAAUCCAAAUCUGUCAGCAUUUUCUUAUAUAGGAUUCAAAACAAGGGAUUGAGAAAGGAGGAAGGGGUAAAUUACCUUCUGAAACUUCCACAAACCUCUUACUGGUAUGGGAUUGAUCAACAAGCUACUCUCCCCUAUCUAGAACCGAUCGUCGUUCGUGAGAGAUUGCAAAGAAAAAUUAGGUUUCGAUAAACUGAACUCUGGAAUCGCGACUUUGAUUUUAUAAGCUAUCCACCACGCACGUGAUGACCUAGCAACCUCACACGUGGCCUAUUGAUGGUCAAGGUCGUAAUCCUCCAGUCAGCUAUGAAUGUGACUAUCACUGUCCACGACCAUGAUAUGAUGAUCACGUUCGUGACAGAUGAUCAGUCACGCCCGUGACGGUCAAUCUAAUAGUGAUUUUCAGAGACUCACAGAACCGAAACUAAACUCUGAGUCAGAUAUUAACCCGAAAUUGGGGUGUCACAGGUAACUUGCACAUCAUCAAGGGAUAUCAUAACCUGAUAUAACCUAACAUAACAUAGCCACCUACCCAUGACAUAACUGACAUGACAUAAAGUAACCACUUAAUCAUAAAGACAUUGACAUACAAUUAGCCGCAAAGAUCGAGUAAUAUCAUGAAGCGUAACAGAACAUAGUCACUUAACCGUCUAAAGAAUAACGUGACAUAAUGUAACCACUUAAUCAAUCUAGUGAUUUCAUAACGUAGUCUGGCAUGACAUAAUCACUUAACCAUUACAUGAAUUACCUGACAUAGGGUAAUCCGUUAAUUAUGGAAUCAUUGACAUAAACUGAAAUGCCUCAAUCACGUAAUGUUAUAACAUAACCUAACAUAUCCACAUAAUAAUGACAUGAAUGAUUUGACAUAAGGUGAGCACUUAAUCAUGGAAUCACAACAUGGAAUUACGUGCGUUAAAUUACUUAAAACUUGAUUUAACCUAAUGCAACGAUAAGAUUUUACCCCUUUGAACCACCCACCUGAUUGAUUGGUCGAAAUCUCAGAAAAGCGUUUAAGAAGAUUCCCCUUGCCACCACAAAUCCACAGCUUCUAACGGUGUGUUGUUUAGAACUCAAACAGUCAAUUAUGUUCCGGAAAUUCCUUUUGAAAAUGAAUAACUCUCGCAGAACUGUAAUUUCCACUUAUUGGCAAACUACAGAACUGGUCCCUGUACAGUUGAUCGAUUGGAGACCAGACACCCAAUGUUUCCAAGGUUACCAAACAGUUACUGAACUUUACCUGAAAUUUUCCCAAAAUUGAGGGCAGGUCACCAAACUCCCAAAAAUGACGUUUCAGUCAUUCUUCUUCUCCGGCGAGCGCCAAUCAUCUUGGCAACACCGCUCCGCUCUCUGGCCUUCCUCCGCCACCGCUAGUGGUACUAAACGCGGCCCACACGCCUUGCCGCUCGCCACUGUUUCAAUCUCCGCUCCGCUCCAAGGUCGUCGCCGCCGAGCUUUCCCUCAUCCAACGCCGCCACUGCCUCGGUUUUCUCCACGGUAGUCCUCCCUCUUCAAUCCAACGUCAGGAGCGUCUCAACCGCCGUCGCCAAGUUCCAAAUCUCGCUCUCUCUCUCUCUCUCUGAACGCCGGCGCCGCCAACGAUUUCUCUCUCUCCCUCUCUCUCCCAUGGCGGCAACAACAACCCAAGAGGGUGCCAACUCUCCUAGCUCUCUCUCCCGACUCCCUCUCAGCUACAUUAUUGAGUGCUCCCAACAAUUCGGAUAAUAACAAUGC
rnacentral:lncRNA from 1 species